CUCACUUUUGGCGAGGAUUGAUGCCAGUCAAAAAUAUUUUCACUAAUUGCUGCAAGGAGAAGGUAGGUGAUGGAAUUAGGACCUCUUUCUGGGAGGAGAAUUGGAUUGGUGACCGACCAUUAUGCUCCAAAUUCCCCAGGAGGGUGAUCGAGAUAAGCUGAGGCAUGGAGCAUCCAUGCUAUCUUUCAUCACAUCUGAAGUAUCUCGGGCGCAUGCUGAAUGGAAGGCGGCAACAACGCGAUGGGAAGCCCAAGAACUGUGCUGUGCGGUGCAACGAACGAAACGCUGUGGAUUUUUAUUGAAAUCUCAAAGCUGAGAGAGUAUAUGUGGUACAGACAUCACAAUCAGAAAGAAAGAGUAUCGUGUAAUGAGCUAUGGUAGGUAGUAUCUGUGUAACACAUCAACCACACGAGAAUCGCUAAAAUGACAUGAAGAUGUACACAGAAGA